rnacentral:tRNA from 1 species
GUCAGGAUGGCCGAGCGGUCUAAGGCGCCAGACUCAAGUGUAAGAACUUGUUCUGUUCAAACAGAAUAUAAGUGAUGGAGCGUUCUGGUCCUCUCUGAGGGCGUGGGUUCAAAUCCCACUCCUGACA